rnacentral:hammerhead_ribozyme from 1 species
AUCCAGCUGAUCGUCCCAAAUAGGACGAAAUGCGCAUCCUGGAU